UGCCAGCAGCCGCGGUAAUACGGAGGGAGCUAGCGUUGUUCGGAAUUACUGGGCGUAAAGCGUGCGUAGGCGGAUCGACAAGUUGGGGGUGAAAUCCCGGGGCUUAACCCCGGAACUGCCCUCAAAACUGUCGAUCUAGAGACCGGGAGAGGUAAGCGGAAUUCCUAGUGUAGAGGUGAAAUUCGUAGAUAUUAGGAAGAACACCAGUGGCGAAGGCGGCUUACUGGACCGGUACUGACGCUGAGGGUACAAAACCGUGGGAGCGAACAGGAUUAGAUA
rnacentral:rRNA from 1 species